UGCCGAUCCAUAAUUUCUCUGCCCUAGCCGAAUCUUGAAGUCCAGGCAGUGAGGGAGUGUUCUACAGCCACUUACUGUUGUUCCAGCAGCCGACAGCGAUAUCGACUGCAAAUCUUGAUCUAGCAGUAACAAGACGAUCUCCAGUGGUGCUAUCGACAGAAGCUUUAGAGCAGUGAGGACUUUGACGCGAG